AAGACAAGGGUUUAGCAAGAGGAAGGGAUGGAAGGAACAGGUAGGGUGGUUUUUCCUUCUGAGGCUAUGGUGGCUAGCCUAAAGCCACCAAUAGAGCCAUAACAAUCUUAAGUUGGAAUUGUCAUGGAGCCGAGCAAGCCCUAACAAUGAGAAGUCUCAGAGAGUUGGUCUCUGCCAAUAAACCCAGGGUUGUUUUUCUAUUGAAAACUAAAAAUUCUAGUUCAUUUAUGGAAAAGUGGAAAAUUCAUUUGGGUUUUCAUGAUUUGUUCUAUGUUGAACUUGAAGGAUUAUUUAGAGGAUUAGCUUUGUGGUGGAUUGAUCCUAUUAAUAUCCAGAUUUUGUCA
rnacentral:misc_RNA from 1 species